rnacentral:rRNA from 1 species
GACAGAGGGUGCAAACGUUGCUCGGAAUUACUGGGCGUAAAGCGCGUGUAGGCGGGUCUGCAAGUCAGAUGUGAAAGCCCUGGGCUCAACCCAGGAACUGCAUUUGAAACUGCAGGCCUUGAGUGUCGGAGAGGAAAGCGGAAUUCCUGGUGUAGAGGUGAAAUUCGUAGAUAUCAGGAGGAACACCGGUGGCGAAGGCGGCUUUCUGGACGACAACUGACGCUGAGGUGCGAAAGCGUGGGGAGCAAACAGG